rnacentral:rRNA from 1 species
GAUGAACGCUGGCUGUGUGCCUAAUACAUGCAUGUCGAGCGAAGCACUUUUGUGCUUAGCGGCGAAUGGGUGAGUAACACGUACUUAACCUACCCUCAAGAUUGGGACAACACUUGGAAACGAGUGCUAAUACCAAAUACGUAUUUUUAUCGCAUGAUAGAUAUAUAAAAGGAGCUUCGGCUUCACUAGAGGAUGGGAGUGCGCUACAUUAGUUAGUUGGUAGGGUAAUGGCCUACCAAGACUAUGAUGUAUAGCGGGGCCGAGAGGCUGAUCCGCCCCACUGGGACUGAGAUACGGCCCAGACUCCUACGGGAGGCAGCAGUAGGGAAUUUUCCACAAUGAACGAAAGUUUGAUGGAGCGACACAGCGUGCAGGAUGAAGGUCUUCGGAUUGUAAACUGCUGUUAUAAGAGAAGAAAAACCCUGGUAGGUAAUGACCAGGACUUGACGGUACCUUAUCAGAAAGCGACAGCUAACUAUGUGCCAGCAGCCGCGGUAAUACAUAGGUCGCAAGCGUUAUCCGGAAUUAUUGGGCGUAAAGAGUUCGUACGUGGUUUUGUAAGUCUGAAGUUAAAUACCGGGGCUCCAACCCCGGCCCGCUUUGGAUACUGCAAAACUAGAGUAAUAGAGAGGUUAGCUGGAACUCCAAGUGAAGCGGUGGAAUGCGUAGAUAUUCUGGAAGAACACCAAUGGCGCAGGCAACUAACUGGAUAUUAACUGACACUGAGGAACGAAAGCCUGGGUAGCAAACAGG